rnacentral:rRNA from 1 species
UACAGAGGCCUCAAGCGUUAGGCGGAAUCACUGGGCUUAAAGCGUGUGUAGGCGGAUCGUUAAGUGUCUUGUGAAAUCCCACGGCUCACCCGUGGAACUGCUGGGCAUACUGGCGAUCUUGGGCCAACUAGGGGCAACUGGAACAAGCGGUGGAGCGGUGAAAUGCGUAGAUAUCUGGAGGAACACCGGGUGGCGAAGGCGGCAUCCUGGACCGGCAUUGACGCUGGAGGCGCGAAAGCUAGGGGAGCAAACGGG